GCGGCGGCGGCGGCGGCGGCGGCGGCGGCGGCGGCGGCGGCGGCGGCGGCGGCGGCUUGGGGCAGCGCCGCGGGGUCGCGGGGGAGCCAUCGGGCCGGGCCGGGCCGGGCCCCGCGGUGCCGGAGCGCGUCGGAAAGGCGGACCGGCGGCUGGCAGGGCUCGGGCAAAGAAACGUGGUGGUGGUGUCACGAUCCGUAUAAAAGAUGCGGGCUGGGGGCUGGCGGCUCCCGGGGACCGGAGGGUAGCAUCACGCGUGCUGUCACCGGGCGAAGGAAUUAGGGUGCAGGAGCUUGUUUUUGAAGCACUGGCACUUACACAGCGGCUGGACUGCCUAAGAGUCCGCUUGGAGCAGGGAAGUCACGCUUCCGCAGGCCCGAGAGGAUAAAGCUGUCAGAAAACCCCCCCAAAAGGCCCUUAUUUUACUUUCUAUUUCCUCACCUAUUAGCUGGUGCGCAAACACCAGACUUAAACACAUAUUAAGAUCCGCAGAUGCUCAUGGCCUUACCGGGGAAAGGCUAAGGGCUGCAAGGAGCACACGGCUGCAGGUGCAGCCGCCCUGACGUGGGAGAACUGCUGUGGAGGACGGGUGCCCGCGUCGAGCACCCUGCUGUCAGCCAGGUUGUCUCUACGCUGCCUGAGAGGAUCGCUUCGUUUUCAACAGCCACUUCUUGUCCGCAAGCGUUUCCAGGCUUUGACGGACGUAAGGGAUGGACUUCAGGGCAGAAAAAACAUCUGGAGAUUGUUCCCAAGGGGAAGAGAAACACAUCAGUUGAUCUCUGGGAGAUGCGGGGGUUUCUGACUUUCGGAUCCUGCUACGUUCUGGGCUGGAUCGUCCUCCCAGUGAGAGCUGUUUAGGAGCAGAAGAGCCUCUUACUCUCAGGACACCUGGAUUCAAUUCUUAGAGGAUCACAAAGGACAACUGUGUAAUUUGGCGAGUCACUUAGUAUAGAUGAGAUUCAGCUAAGGAGAUUUAGUCUUCCGUGAUGAUGUUUUCAAAAGUGUGAAGAGACCUUAACUGGAGAAGUGUAAAUACAUCCUGCCAAAAUAGAAUAAGGAGGUUUUAGUGGAAAUUAGAAUUGUUUGCUCUCUGGUUUAGUUCCUGUGCUUUAGCUGGUGCUUUAAUUGCCUCAUUGGGAUAUUGCAAGCAUGUUUUCAUCAAUGUAUGGAAAACUGAUGAAACCUGGGGAGAGAGACUGUACGAUAAAAGAAUUUUCCAGCCAGUGCCAGUUGUCAUGAGUGAGAGGCGCUCAAAGUUGAGUAGUUUGCCCCCGUAUAUAUGGAAUCAGCUAUGCAGUACAGGGUUAAAGAGAGUUAUAACCUACAAUUAAAAAACAAAACCUGAAAUGAAUGACAAUCGUGUAUAAAUACUUAACCUGAGCUUACAAACAGCAUCUGCCGAAGGGUGCUUUCACCAUUGCAGGCCCCUGGAUGAUGGAAUUGUGCUGGAAUGCAAACAUUUCCUACAAUUUCCUCUGGCAGGCUCCGCUUUGAAGUUCUGAUCCUGCAACUGUAGCGGGAGAUGCAAUAAUGACAAUAAGCAUGCUCCUAAAUCCUACAUAUAUUAGAGAUAUGGUGUCUGACUCACCACUGAAAAUACUCUAGCUUUUGUUUAUGUAUGUAUUUCAGUUUAUAUGGAAUUGCACUAGCAGUGAAAUAGAGUAAAGUGUAAUGGAUCAGACCCUAUGGUAUUUACUGAUUUGAGUUUUGUCUGUGGUUACUGUACUAGCAGGAAAUAUUCUGCCUGUGGUUUCUAUAUCCUGAGUGGAAAUGUGGUAUUCAAUAAAAUACGAUCUUAUUACGGCA